rnacentral:rRNA from 1 species
UACGGAGGAUCCAAGCGUUAUCCGGAUUUAUUGGGUUUAAAGGGUGCGUAGGCGGCUUAAUAAGUCAGAGGUGAAAGACGGCAGCUUAACUGUCGCAGUGCCUUUGAUACUGUUAAGCUUGAAUGUGAUUGAAGAUGGCGGAAUGAGACAAGUAGCGGUGAAAUGCUUAGAUAUGUCUCAGAACACCGAUUGCGAAGGCAGCUGUCUAAGUCAAUAUUGACGCUGAUGCACGAAAGCGUGGGGAUCAAACAGG